GGUACCCACAGAAGAAGUCCCGGCUAACUUCGUGCCAGCAGCCGCGGUAAUACGAAGGGGGCUAGCGUUACUCGGAAUUAUUGGGCGUAAAGCGUGCGUAGGCUGCUUAGUAAGUCAAAAGUGAAAGCCUUGGGCUUAACCUAAGAAUUGCUUUUGAAACUGCUAGGCUUGAGUACUGUAGGGGAUAGCGGAAUUCCUAGUGUAGGGGUGAAAUUCGUAGAUAUUAGGAGGAACACCGGAGGCGAAAGCGGUUAUCUGGACAGUCACUGACGCUGUUGCACGAAAGCGUGGGGAGCAAACAGGAUUAGAUACCCUGGUAGUCCACGCUGUAAACGAUGAGUGCUAA
rnacentral:rRNA from 1 species